rnacentral:rRNA from 1 species
ACACGCAUGACACACUGCAUAUCAAUAAGCGGAGGAAAAGAAACUAACAAGGAUUCCCUUAGUAACGGCGAGUGAAGCGGGAAGAGCUCAAAUUUGAAAUCUUCAAGGUUUUACCUUGACGAAUUGUAGUUUAAAGAAGUGUUUUCUGUUGGAGUUUUGGUAAAAGUUCUUUGGAAUAGGACAUCAUAGAGGGUGAGAAUCCCGUAUUUGACCAUUAUUUCCAGCUGUGUGAUACACUUUCAAAGAGUCGGAUUGUUUGGGAAUGCAGUCCAAAAUGGGUGGUAAAUUUCAUCUAAAGCUAAAUAUUGGCGAGAGACCGAUAGCGAACAAGUACCGUGAGGGAAUGAUGAAAAGAACUUUGAAAAGAGAGUUAAACAGUACGUGAAAUUGUCAAAAGGGAAGCGUUUGACACCAGUGUUGUUUUCUCGAAAAUCAAUUAAGAAUGGCCGGAUCUUGUAGUUGUCAUGACCUUAUAAGCUUGUUCUGCACUUUUUUCUUGUCUUUCUUAAUGCACUUUUCGGUUAACAAGUCAACAUCAAUUUCUUUUGUUGUAAAAGGGUAUGAGGAAGGUGGCUUUCUUUUCGGAGAAAGUGUUUAUAGCCUUGUGCCUCUGCAAUCGGAGAGAUUGAGGUCUGCAGCGUAGAUCCUUCGGGGUUAGAUACGUUUGUGCUAAGUUAUAGCUUUUCAUAGACAACUUGUUGACUAUGUUUAGUCUUGUAGCUUACUCGCUGACGCUAUUUUACCUACGCUUAGGAUGUUGAUCUACAGAGCGAGAGU